rnacentral:rRNA from 1 species
UGCAGUCGAACGGCAGCGCGGGGCAACCUGGCGGCGAGUGGCGAACGGGUGAGUAAUAUAUCGGAACGUACCCUGGAGUGGGGGAUAACGUAGCGAAAGUUACGCUAAUACCGCAUACGAUCUAAGGAUGAAAGUGGGGGAUCGCAAGACCUCAUGCUCCUGGAGCGGCCGAUAUCUGAUUAGCUAGUUGGUGGGGUAAAGGCCUACCAAGGCAUCGAUCAGUAGCUGGUCUGAGAGGACGACCAGCCACACUGGAACUGAGACACGGUCCAGACUCAUACGGGAGGCAGCAGUGGGGAAUUUUGGACAAUGGGCGAAAGCCUGAUCCAGCAAUGCCGCGUGAGUGAAGAAGGCCUUCGGGUUGUAAAGCUCUUUUGUCAGGGAAGAAACGGUGCUUUCUAAUACAGAGCGCUAAUGACGGUACCUGAAGAAUAAGCACCGGCUAACUACGUGCCAGCAGCCGCGGUAAUACGUAGGGUGCAAGCGUUAAUCGGAAUUACUGGGCGUAAAGCGUGCGCAGGCGGUUUUGUAAGUCUGUCGUGAAAUCCCCGGGCUCAACCUGGGAAUGGCGAUGGAGACUGCAAGGCUAGAGUUUGGCAGAGGGGGGUAGAAUUCCACGUGUAGCAGUGAAAUGCGUAGAUAUGUGGAGGAACACCGAUGGCGAAGGCAGCCCCCUGGGUCAAGACUGACGCUCAUGCACGAAAGCGUGGGGAGCAAACAGGAUUAGAUACCCUGGUAGUCCACGCCCUAAACGAUGUCUACUAGUUUGUCGGGUUUUAAAUUAACUUGGUAACGCAGCUAACGCGUGAAGUAGACCGCCCUGGGGAGUUACGGUCGCUAGAUUAAAACUCAAAGGAAUUGACGGGGACCCGCACAAGCGGUGGGAUGAUG